UACGAAGGGGGCUAGCGUUGCUCGGAAUCACUGGGCGUAAAGCGCACGUAGGCGGCUUUCUAAGUCAGGGGUGAAAUCCUGGAGCUCAACUCCAGAACUGCCUUUGAUACUGGAGAGCUAGAGUCCGGAAGAGGUGAGUGGAACUGCGAGUGUAGAGGUGAAAUUCGUAGAUAUUCGCAAGAACACCAGUGGCGAAGGCGGCUCACUGGUCCGGUACUGACGCUGAGGUGCGAAAGCGUGGGGAGCAAACAGGG
rnacentral:rRNA from 1 species